UACAGAGGGUGCAAGCGUUAAUCGGAAUUACUGGGCGUAAAGCGUGCGUAGACGGUUAUGUAAGUCAGGUGUGAAAGCCCCGGGCUCAACCUGGGAAUUGCAUUUGAGACUGCAUAGCUAGGGUGCGGAAGAGGGAAGCGGAAUUUCCGGUGUAGCGGUGAAAUGCGUAGAUAUGUGGAGGAACACCGAUGGCGAAGGCAGUCCCCUGGGCCUGUACUGACGCUCAUGCACGAAAGCGUGGGGAGCAAACAGG
rnacentral:rRNA from 1 species